UCUGAAUUUUGCCAGUUAACUCUGAUUGUAUAAUUUGGUUUGCCAUUAGGAUUGUAGGGGGAGGUAACACAGUACCUGUGUAAUUCAUACUUUUAAGCCAUCAUGAGUAUAAAAGUGCUGUGGGAACUUCUUCACAGUGUCUCUGCUUAUUAGUGUAAUUUUUUUAGUGAAAAAUACAGGUAGUAUGAAAAGUUGAGCACAAAUUUAUAGAUUGAGUGUUAUCCAUGAAAGCAGCUAGGUUGGAUGUGCAUACUAACAAAAUCACAGUUUUGACGAGGUACCUAGAUAAAUUUAUUUUUACGUUAUGUGAAAUAGUUCAAAAGUUACCCCCUCAUGUAAGCAAUUCCUUAUGGAAGCAGAGUCUCUGCUGAAAUACUCAUAGUAUUUCAACAACUGAAAUAAGUCUCUAACAAUAAUAUUUUACCUUGACAGAAAUGUUUUUUUUCAUUAUUCUUUUGCAGCAUUAACUAAAUCUCCCAAAAGAUUGUUUAAGAUACGUGACGGAAGGUUGGCUACCCCGAACCUUUUCUAGAGGCUUCAUGAGGAUACAGCACUUGCACACAAGGAUGCCCAGCACUGUUGUUACUGCUGAUUUACCAUGAUGAAAGAACAGUAACUGAUGUUUUUAUAAUCCACUCUCAUUCCAUACACAGACAUGCCGGUGUUGACGAGAGGUGAAAUUGUGUAAUUCAAAUUUUGACAUCAAAAUUGUAGCCAAGAUUACUCAACUGUUCUUUGAGAGCUAGACCUGGCUUCAAAUCAGCUGAUUACCAAAGAAGAUUACAUAGCCUUGUACAUUGAAGGAAAUUUUAAAUCA